UGGGGAAUAUUGCACAAUGGGCGCAAGCCUGAUGCAGCCAUGCCGCGUGUAUGAAGAAGGCCUUCGGGUUGUAAAGUACUUUCAGCGGGGAGGAAGGGAGUAAAGUUAAUACCUUUGCUCAUUGACGUUACACGCAGAAGAAGCACCGGCUAACUCCGUGCCAGCAGCCGCGGUAAUACGGAGGGUGCAAGCGUUAAUCGGAAUUACUGGGCGUAAAGCGCACGCAGGCGGCUUGUUAAGUCAGAUGUGAAAUCCCCGGGCUCAACCUGGGAACUGCAUCUGAUACUGGCAAGCUUGAGUCUCGUAGAGGGGGGUAGAAUUCCAGGUGUAGCGGUGAAAUGCGUAGAGAUCUGGAGGAAUACCGGUGGCGAAGGCGGCCCCCUGGACAAAGACUGACGCUCAGGUGCGAAAGCGUGGGGAGCAAACAGG
rnacentral:rRNA from 1 species